rnacentral:rRNA from 1 species
AGAGUUUGAUCCUGGCUCAGGACGAACGCUGGCGGCGUGCUUAACACAUGCAAGUCGAACGGAAAGGUCUCUUCGGAGAUACUCGAGUGGCGAACGGGUGAGUAACACGUGGGUGAUCUGCCCUGCACUUCGGGAUAAGCCUGGGAAACUGGGUCUAAUACCGGAUAGGACCACGGGAUGCAUGUCUUGUGGUGGAAAGCGCUUUAGCGGUGUGGGAUGAGCCCGCGGCCUAUCAGCUUGUUGGUGGGGUGACGGCCUACCAAGGCGACGACGGGUAGCCGGCCUGAGAGGGUGUCCGGCCACACUGGGACUGAGAUACGGCCCAGACUCCUACGGGAGGCAGCAGUGGGGAAUAUUGCACAAUGGGCGCAAGCCUGAUGCAGCGACGCCGCGUGGGGGAUGACGGCCUUCGGGUUGUAAACCUCUUUCACCAUCGACGAAGGUCCGGGUUCUCUCGGAUUGACGGUAGGUGGAGAAGAAGCACCGGCCAACUACGUGCCAGCAGCCGCGGUAAUACGUAGGGUGCGAGCGUUGUCCGGAAUUACUGGGCGUAAAGAGCUCGUAGGUGGUUUGUCGCGUUGUUCGUGAAAUCUCACGGCUUAACUGUGAGCGUGCGGGCGAUACGGGCAGACUAGAGUACUGCAGGGGAGACUGGAAUUCCUGGUGUAGCGGUGGAAUGCGCAGAUAUCAGGAGGAACACCGGUGGCGAAGGCGGGUCUCUGGGCAGUAACUGACGCUGAGGAGCGAAAGCGUGGGGAGCGAACAGGAUUAGAUACCCUGGUAGUCCACGCCGUAAACGGUGGGUACUAGGUGUGGGUUUCCUUCCUUGGGAUCCGUGCCGUAGCUAACGCAUUAAGUACCCCGCCUGGGGAGUACGGCCGCAAGGCUAAAACUCAAAGGAAUUGACGGGGGCCCGCACAAGCGGCGGAGCAUGUGGAUUAAUUCGAUGCAACGCGAAGAACC